rnacentral:rRNA from 1 species
AGGGGACCUGAUUACCAUGCAGUCGUACGAUGAAGCCCAGCUUGCUGGGUGGAUUAGUGGCGAACGGGUGAGUAACACGUGAGUAACCUGCCCUUGACUCUGGGAUAAGCGUUGGAAACGACGUCUAAUACCGGAUACGAGCUUCCACCGCAUGGUGAGUUGCUGGAAAGAAUUUUGGUCAAGGAUGGACUCGCGGCCUAUCAGCUUGUUGGUGAGGUAAUGGCUCACCAAGGCGACGACGGGUAGCCGGCCUGAGAGGGUGACCGGCCACACUGGGACUGAGACACGGCCCAGACUCCUACGGGAGGCAGCAGUGGGGAAUAUUGCACAAUGGGCGAAAGCCUGAUGCAGCAACGCCGCGUGAGGGACGACGGCCUUCGGGUUGUAAACCUCUUUUAGCAGGGAAGAAGCGAAAGUGACGGUACCUGCAGAAAAAGCACCGGCUAACUACGUGCCAGCAGCCGCGGUAAUACGUAGGGUGCRAGCGUUGUCCGGAAUUAUUGGGCGUAAAGAGCUCGUAGGCGSUUUGUCGCGUCUGCUGUGAAAUCCCGAGGCUCAACCUCGGGUCUGCAGUGGGUACGGGCAGACUAGAGUGCGGUAGGGGAGAUUGGAAUUCCUGGUGUAGCGGUGGAAUGCGCAGAUAUCAGGAGGAACACCGAUGGCGAAGGCAGAUCUCUGGGCCGUUACUGACGCUGAGGAGCGAAAGGGUGGGGAGCAAACAGGCUUAGAUACCCUGGUAGUCCACCCCGUAAACGUUGGGCGCUAGAUGUGGGGACCAUUCCACGGUUUCCGUGUCGUAGCUAACGCAUUAAGCGCCCCGCCUGGGGAGUACGGCCGCAAGGCUAAAACUCAAAGGAAUUGACGGGGGCCCGCACAAGCGGCGGAGCAUGCGGAUUAAUUCGAUGCAACGCGAAGAACCUUACCAAGGCUUGACAUAUACGAGAACGGGCCAGAAAUGGUCAACUCUUUGGACACUCGUAAACAGGUGGUGCAUGKUUGUCGUCAGCUCGUGUCGUGAGAUGUUGGGUUAAGUCCCGCAACGAGCGCAACCCUCGUUCUAUGUUGCCAGCACGUAAUGGUGGGAACUCAUGGGAUACUGCCGGGGUCAACUCGGAGGAAGGUGGGGACGACGUCAAAUCAUCAUGCCCCUUAUGUCUUGGGCUUCACGCAUGCUACAAUGGCCAGUACAAAGGGCUGCAAUACCGUAAGGUGGAGCGAAUCCCAAAAAGCUGGUCCCAGUUCGGAUUGAGGUCUGCAACCCGACCUCAUGAAGUCGGAGUCGCUAGUAAUCGCAGAUCAGCAACGCUGCGGUGAAUACGUUCCCGGGCCUUGUACACACCGCCCGUCAAGUCAUGAAAGUCGGUAACACCCGAAGCCAGUGGCCUAACCGCAAGGAUGGAGC